rnacentral:rRNA from 1 species
CACCUGUGGCGAAGGCGCCCGGCUGGAACGGGUCCGACGGUGAGGGACGAAGGCCAGGGGAGCGAACCGGAUUAGAUACCCGGGUAGUCCUGGCUGUAAACGAUGCGGGCUAGGUGUCGGGCAAGCUACGAGCUUGCCCGGUGCCGGAGGGAAGCCGUUAAGCCCGCCGCCUGGGGAGUACGGCCGCAAGGCUGAAACUUAAAGGAAUUGGCGGGGGAGCACCGCAACCUGAGGAUUGUGCGGUUUAAUUGGAUUCAACGCCGGAAAACUCACCAGAGCAGACGGACAUAUGAAGAUCAGCGUGAUGAGCUUAUUGGAUUGUUCGAGAGGUAGUGCAUGGCCGUCGUCAGUUCGUACCGCAAGGCGUUCUGUUAAGUCAGAUAACGAACGAGACCCUCAUCCCUAUUUGCUAACCCGAUCUCCGGAUCAGGCGCACUAUAGGGAGACCGCUGGCGCGAAGUCAGAGGAAGGCGAGGGCAACGGUAGGUCAGUAUGCUCCGAAUGCUAUGGGCUACACGCGCAAUACAAAGGACGGGACAAUGGGCUGCUGCUCCGAAAGGAACGAUGGCUAUCCCGAAACCCGUUCGUAGUUCGGAUUGAGGGCUGUAACUCGCCCUCAUGAAGCUGGAUUAGGUAGUAAUCGCGUCUCAAAAAGGCGCGGUGAAUAUGCCCCUGCUCCUUGCACACACCGCCCGUCAAACCAACCGAGUCGGGUUUGGAUGAGCCUUAGUUUUUUUGAUUAAGUCGAAUCCAAACUCAGUGAGGUGGGUUAAGUCGUCACAAGGUAGCCGUAGGGGAACCUGCGGCUG